rnacentral:sRNA from 1 species
AAGCCAAUUCCUCAUAGGCAGGCUAUCGGC